CAUCAUAAUAAAAUUUGCUUAAGUAUUACAUACAGAACGUGGGUCAAAAUAUUGUGUUUUUUAAUUAAUUUGGUGCUAUUAUUCGCAGAAGAGUAAACAACAUAUGGGUUUACUGUAUGUGUGUCGCAUGUAGACAGCUAUUUUGAGGAGACAGCAGAUUACCAUUCAUUUGCUGCUCUGAUUGCUGUUGCUACUGUACACGUGGAUAUACUGCAGGCUCAAUCUCACUCAAAUCCAAAGUAAAUCACCAACACUAUCGUCACUUAUUUCUGUUUUAUUGAAGAAAAUACAAUGUAAUUGGCUAAAACGCAUGCGCAGGUUACUUUACUUCCUGAAAAGUGCGCACCUGAGUCCGUGUUGCUUUCAUAUUCAAGCACCAGAGUUUGUUUGGAAGUGGACCAAGACCCAUCUUUUUAGGGCACUUUCACACUAGCACUUUGGUGCUCAGCCAGGUUCCAGGGAUGUCAGAGUUUGUUACGUUUGGCUAGUGUGAAAGUUGUCAUAAGAUUGCAGGUGCGCACCGGGGUACCGAACCUGAGACUACCUGAAGGAGGUGGUCUGAGUUCGAUUGCACUCAAACUGUGGUGCGGUUCGAAUGAAAUAUGAACGCAACAUUGACCAAAUAUUUCUAAACGAACCAAAAACAGAAAGUAAUGACAAGAUGCGGCGCUUUGCAACAUGAUUUGAUGACAUGGAAUAAGCGAUAUAUCCAAAACAAAAGGAGCAGAGGACAAACGUGGAGCAACGAGGAGGUCAGCCAUCUGAAAACUCCUGCCAGGGUAAGGGAGAGCCUGCGCUGUUAUCUCCGCCUUCUUGAAACUUUUUCAGGCUUCUGAUUGGCCAACAUGGCUUUACAGUUGAGAUUAUAUCACCACCUGUUGGUUUGGCAUGCUCUUGACAGUGUAUCAUUGUGUGCAUUUGCGUUUUCAUGUGGACAGAGAUUUUUUUAAAACGAAAGAAGGAAAAAAUGUUUAUAAAAAUACCUGUGUACAUGUGGACAUGGCCUCAGUUUAUUUGAUGUUUUUAAACAAUACAGAGCACCGGUGGUAACCAGAGACAGGAAGCAGCAGAUUAGAAGCAAAGUAGCUUGCUCUCACUGAAGUGGAUAUUUCUAGGGCACAUCUCAAGAUACGCUUUCAUUGCCAUUUAGAAACUGAAUCCCAUUCCAUGCCGCCCCAUUAUUAGACACAUAUUCAUGUCAAAUUCCCAAAGGAGAAAUCAGUUCUCUUACACAGAUUUAACAGCAUAUUAUGAAUGUAUUAUUUGUGUGCAUGGUUAUAUGUUACCGUCUUAGGCUAAUCUGUGAGCAUUCACAUGUAUGUCAAUAAAAAAAGGCCUUUUAAAAUGUUCUUAUGCAAACACACAAUAACUCAGAUCCCACAUUUAGAAUUUUUUAUAUAUAUAUGUUUUGUCCCUAUCUAAUGCAUGUCAUAUCAGGUAAUAAACAAAUUUCAUAUUUUACAUUUUAUAUUUACUGAGCAAACCACACCCAAGAAAUGAAAAUUAUAUAAAAUUAUAAGAUUAGUAUUGCAAUUCAAUAUUUAUGAGUUGCAACAAAACAUUUAGCAUUAUUGUGCUCUAGCAACAUUACCAAACCUAU
ensembl:lncRNA